UUUUUUUCUACAUAAUAUUAUUGCAAAAAUAAAAGCAUGCAAUUUUUUUUUGGUUCAUUUUUUAAUCCAAUAUACAUAUUUUUUCCGAGUAGACUAUAGUAUAUUACGAUAUACUAUAGUUUAGUACUAUUGUAUACUAUAUUUUACUAUGAUGUACUAUUAAACCCUAGCCGUUAAUAACUCCCAGCCGUCGCCAACCCUAGCAGCCAAACGUAGUUGCCGCCAAACUCUAGCGGUCAUACCAAGCAAAAUCUCUUAAGAGAUAAUCAGAUAUAAUUAGUCAAAAAAAUGCUUUCAAUAACAGAUGAUUCUUCAAUUCAUAGCGCCGUUAGACACUCGUAGUCUCGUAGACAACUAGAGUCAUUUUCAAAACCCUACUUUUGCCAUUCAGAACCCUAGCACCGCUAGCAAAAGUAGACCAGCCACUGUCCUCGCCGUAUAUGCAAUUCAACAACGUACACAUACAAUGAAUUCAUCAUAACCAGCCCUAGCCACUGCUCAAAAAGCAACGAAAAUAUCUACGCAGGCACACAUCUCGCCAACCCUUCCGUGAUGCAAUCACCACUUUCCCCGCCAAGGCAAGUCAGGGACAUUGGUUCCGCCGCACAACGCGCGUCUGAAUUGGCCACCACCGUUCAUUGCAGAUCUAUUGUUCCCCCACAAAUUUUUAAAAACUCAGAUCUAAUAAUUAAAAAGAAAGAAAAAGAAAUUGAAAGAAAGAAAAAGAGUGAAUUAGAGAGAUUGAGCGGGGAAAUAGAGAAAGAGAGAGAGAAGAGG
rnacentral:lncRNA from 1 species